AACAGGAUUAGAUACCCUGGUAGUCCACGCCGUAAACGAUGUCGACUUGGAGGUUGUGCCCUUGAGGCGUGGCUUCCGGAGCUAACGCGUUAAGUCGACCGCCUGGGGAGUACGGCCGCAAGGUUAAAACUCAAAUGAAUUGACGGGGGCCCGCACAAGCGGUGGAGCAUGUGGUUUAAUUCGAUGCAACGCGAAGAACCUUACCUGGCCUUGACAUCCAGAGAACUUAGCAGAGAUGCUUUGGUGCCUUCGGGAACUCUGAGACAGGUGCUGCAUGGCUGUCGUCAGCUCGUGUUGUGAAAUGUUGGGUUAAGUCCCGCAACGAGCGCAACCCUUAUCCUUUGUUGCCAGCGGCUCGGCCGGGAACUCAAAGGAGACUGCCGGUGAUAAACCGGAGGAAGGUGGGGAUGACGUCAAGUCAUCAUGGCCCUUACGGCCAGGGCUACACACGUGCUACAAUGGCGCAUACAAAGAGAAGCGACCUCGCGAGAGCAAGCGGACCUCAUAAAGUGCGUCGUAGUCCGGAUUGGAGUCUGCAACUCGACUCCAUGAAGUCGGAAUCGCUAGUAAUCGUAGAUCAGAAUGCUACGGUGAAUACGUUCCCGGGCCUUGUACACACCGCCCGUCACACCAUGGGAGUGGGUUGCAAAAGAAGUAGGUAGCUUAACCUUCGGGAGGGCGCUUACCACUUUGUGAUUCAUGACUGGGGUGAAGUCGUAACAAGGUAACC
rnacentral:rRNA from 1 species